CACGUAGGGCGCAAGCGUUUGUCCGGAAUUAUUGGGCGUAAAAGGACGCUCGUGAGCGGUCUGUUGCGUCCGCUGUGAAAACUCGGGGCUUAACCCCGAGCCUGCAGUGGAUACGGGCAGGCUAGAGUUCGGUAGGGGAGACUGGAAUUCCUGGUGUAGCGGUGAAAUGCGCAGAUAUCAGGAGGAACACCGGUGGCGAAGGCGGGUCUCUGGGCCGAUACUGACGCUGAGGAGCGAAAGCGUGGGGAGCGAACAGG
rnacentral:rRNA from 1 species